GAACAGGAACCGGAGCCGGUGGGACAGGCUUCGGCAGGAUCCCCCACGGAAGAGGACCAGGAGUUGGCAGGACCCCUGGCGAGACAGGUGAUGGCGGGGCCUCUAACUGAACAGGACAAGGGGUUGGCAGGACCCCCGGCAGGAGAGUAGUCGGCGGGACCUCCAACGGGACAGGACAUGGAGCUGGCAGGACCCCCAGCAGAACAGGACAUGGUGUCGGCAGGACCCCCGGCAGAACAGGUGACAGCAGGACCUCCAACAGGACCCGGGGAGCUGGAGUGGGUCGGAACACCGACAGAACUCAAGGGACCGGAGCGGGCCGGAGAGCCGGAACGUGAGCCAGAAUCAUAGCAGCCGGGGCCGGCACUGGAGUCGGAACUGGAGCUGGAAUUGAAGCCGGAAUCAUGGCUCUUGGGGCUCAGGCUGCUAGCCUAGAAUCACACACUGAGAGGAAGUCCAAAGUCCAGCCAGGUAAGAAUUGAACUAAACCUAGUUUCUCCAUUGCCAUCUGGUGCGCCUCAGCCAGAGCAGCCUCACGCUGCUGAACUCCGGACGCUCCCCUCCACUUAUCAGAGCAGCCAGCCAA